CCUAAUUUAGACUAUUCUUUG
rnacentral:tRNA from 6 species